GUUGCUAUGAGUUACUAUAUGGCUAAGAACAAGUGUAGUAUCUGUUCUUAUCAGUUUAAUAUCUGAUAUGUUCUCUCAAUGAGAGUGUUUAUAUUAAACAGAGUUUUAGAACAGGGAGCUAAAAUAGGGUAGGGCUCUACACUAACUUUUUUUUUUUUCAGGAGCACACGUGCUCCUAAGUUAAAAAUUUUA